rnacentral:rRNA from 1 species
AUUGAAUGCUGGCGGCAGGCCUAACACAUGCAAGUCGAGCGUGAAAGUCCUUCGGGAUGAGUAAAGCGGCGGACGGGUGAGUAACGCGUAGGAAUCUACCUAAUAGUGGGGGAUAACGUUUCGAAAGGAACGCUAAUACCGCAUACGUUCUGAGGAAGAAAGCAGGGGAUCGUAAGACCUUGCGCUAUUAGAUGAGCCUGCGUCCGAUUAGCUAGUUGGUGGGGUAAAGGCCUACCAAGGCGACGAUCGGUAACUGGUCUGAGAGGAUGAUCAGUCACACUGGAACUGAGACACGGUCCAGACUCCUACGGAGGCAGCAGUGGGGAAUAUUGGACAAUGGGGGCAACCCUGAUCCAGCCAUGCCGCGUGUGUGAAGAAGGCCUUC